rnacentral:misc_RNA from 1 species
GCUAACAUCAAAAUGUGCUAUUUCCCCCCGGCUGCCGGGGGGCGCUAAAGUCAAAAUCGUCUAUUGACCACCGGCUGACAGGGACACGGUGUAAUCCCACGGAGCUUACAGGAUGCCUAGGCGUGCUGGAUACGAUACAACUGGUCUUACCUUCUUGAUUGACGUUGAAACUUUGCGACUGUCUUGUGUGAAAAUGCGCUAUUGUGCUUUACCAGCCGAUAUAGCGACAGAGUGCAACGAGCCAACGUCACAUUUUCCUAUGUUUACGUGUCUUAAUUACGGAUGCGAAGGAACUCUCGUUUUGCCAAAGGUAAGUAGCUACCGGUAGAUGAGGUUUGACUUGGAAACUAGUUCGUCCGGUUUGUACGUGGCACUCGUGAUGAAUCAUUUCAAUUGUAAAUAAUAGUGUUAUUUUUUCUUGGGAACAAAGACAACCGAAUACAUCUCGCCCUGGAGACAGAUGGAAGUCUAUAAAACGAGGAGUUGGAAAAUCUUAAUCGAGAAACAUAGCUGCUGAAGUCCGUAAUGGAUAUGGUUCAUGCCAUUCGACUGGUCUUCAUAAAUCGGUGGAUUUGGUCAUAAGCGACUUCAUAACAAGAAAACACGAGGUAAUGAUAUCAUGUCUUUAACAUUUGAAAAUCAGUGGAUUACCUUAGGGGAAGAUGUUUUGUCAUUUUCCAGAUCGGAGGAAUCAAAGGGUGGACAGACCCAGUCGUCGCAAUCGAAUUCGUCUGGUUUGCCCUUUCUGCGUUUCAACGUAAAUUGUGACUUCUUAAUUAUCUGUUAAAGAUAGAAAAAAUAUACAUACGUACAUCGUAAAUAGAAUCAUGUGAAUAACAACGUUAAACAAUAAAACAAACUUUGAUUUUGGCGACAGGAGUUAAAGGUGGAUACGAAGAUGAGGUUUCCAUUUCACGUUUAGCAUGCACCACUUCCCGGCCCACCAACUGAUUGAAAUGUGUAGCCAAAUGUCGACGCAGCAGCGUCUUACCCUGAGGAAUUGACAGCAAAGUGGCCAGCAGCUCGGCAUUGAAGCGAGCCUCGUGCACCAGCAAACCACCAUGCACACCUUUAUUGCGAAAACGACCGCAAUCAUUAAACAUUCCAGUUUAUCAGAAGCUAUGCAAAAAAUAUCUAACUCGUACCAGAUCCUCUCAUAUUUGGUGCAUAUUCGGAUAAGUCAACAGCUCUGAGCCAUUCCAUCACGCGAUGGUUAGUCCAGACGGCGACUUGACCGGGAGUUGGAUGUGCCGGCUCCUCGGGGACGGAACGCCGUUGCAAACAGCUCGCAUUGUAAUCAUUUAAGCGCAAAACUUGAAUUCCACGUCGGAUGCAAAUGAGAUGAAGUAGAUUCGUCACUUUGAGGUGGGUACACAAAUCAUCGACUGUCAGUAAAUGGAGCAUUCGGCCAUCCAGCCUAGACUCUAGGAAAGCAUCUUUGUAUUGCGGUAGGCCGAUGUCAUCAAGCCAACGAACGGCCCAUUGAUGAUCUAGUUUUCCGGCGUUCUUUAAUAAAUCUGUUGAAGGAAAACGAUGUGAUGGAUAAACGAUUCACAACUGUUGAAUAAGUACAAACCUGGUAGGAUUGGUGCAAGCGACAUGGGAUCCUGAGCUCGGCCUUUAGCCUCUAGUGCUAGGAUCAAUUUCUUUUUGUGCAGUGGAUGCUUGACGGAAAGUUCCUUUUCUAUCUCGGCCACCUGAGCUUCUAGUAACUGCUGACCCCUACAAUUCCAGCGUUGAACUUCGCUGACGUACAAGUGUAAUCCCAUAUCGUGAAGCCACGAUGCGAUAUCGUCGCUCGACCAUUGUGCGAAGGGAAGUUCAGAUCUAGAUCAAUCAUUUGCUUUUUUAUGAAACAUUUCGAUAACAAAGAUAUUCAAAAAAAUAUAUAUAUACUCCUGGAUAGGUUUGAUUGUUUCUGCUGGGCCUGGAGACCCAUUUUUCCAACCUAAACGGGGCCCUGCUGUAGCGCGAAGAGUGCCACCACGGCGGAAGUCUUCGGCUGAAAGCGGUGUCGAUGGAUCACCCUCUAGAGCACCAGAAUUGGCUCGUUUCAAUCUUGAUAAAAGACACGAUCGUCAUUAUGUCAAACAAAUUCUGGGCGCAUAAAUUAUUACUUAUCGAAUAUCUUCUUCAGACUUCCACGCGGUUGCUUCGAGAAACUGUUGAGCGAUGGUGAAUGGGGUGAUGUCGGGCUAUUGAAAGAUGACUCAGUCAUCACAUCAUCUCGUUCUAACGUGCUGGCGGCUUCAUCCUGAAGGCGUUUCUGCUCCGUUUCAGCUAUUUAGUUCACCACAACAACAACAACAACAGAAAAAGA